ensembl:miRNA microRNA 153-1
UUUCUGUCCUUCCCCUCUCUCCAUCUCUCUCUCCCACUUUCCCUCACAGCUGCCAGUGUCAUUUUUGUGAUCUGCAGCUAGUAUUCUCACUCCAGUUGCAUAGUCACAAAAGUGGUCACUGGCAGGUGUGGCUGCUACAUGGAC